rnacentral:rRNA from 1 species
ACGUAGGGGGCAAGCGUUAUCCGGAUUUACUGGGUGUAAAGGGAGCGUAGACGGCGCAGCAAGUCUGAUGUGAAAGGCAGGGGCUUAACCCCUGGACUGCAUUGGAAACUGCUGCGCUUGAGUGCCGGAGGGGUAAGCGGAAUUCCUAGUGUAGCGGUGAAAUGCGUAGAUAUUAGGAGGAACACCAGUGGCGAAGGCGGCUUACUGGACGGUAACUGACGUUGAGGCUCGAAAGCGUGGGGAGCAAACAG